rnacentral:rRNA from 1 species
CCUACGGGUGGCAGCAGUGGGGAAUAUUGGGCAAUGGGCGCAAGCCUGACCCAGCAACGUCGCGUGAAGGAAGAAGGCCUUCGGGUUGUUAACUUCUUUUCUGAGGGACGAAGAAAGUGACGGUACCCCAGGCAUAAGCCACGGCUAACUACGUGCCAGCAGCCGCGGUAAUACGUAGGUGGCAAGCGUUAUCCGGAUUUAUUGGGUGUAACGGGCGUGUAGGCGGGAAAGCAAGUCAGAUGGGAAAACUCAGGGCUCAACCCUGAGCCUGCAUUUGAAACUGGUUUUCUUGAGUGCUGGAGAGGCAUGCGGAAUUCGGGGUGUAGCGGUGAAAUGCGUAGAUAUACGGAGGAACACCAGUGGCGAAGGCGGAUUGCUGGACAGUAACUGACGCUGAGGCGCGAAAGCGUGGGGAGCAAACAGGAUUAGAUACCCUUGUAGUC